rnacentral:pre_miRNA from 1 species
UUUGUUGGUGAUUGUGGUUCGAAAAUUGAUGUUGAUUAUCCCUUUAUAUUAGUCUGGUAUUUUCUCUGUUUCAAUUUAUUUAUUCUAUUUAUUUUUAUAAUCUGUUUCAAAUUUUUAUAUAUUUAAAUUCUGAACUCGCAUACACGUGAUGUACAAAAUGUAUAGACACAACAUUACAAUCUUGGAACCACAGUUACCACCAUACU